AGAGUUUGAUCCUGGCUCAGAUUGAACGCUGGCGGCAUGCUUUACACAUGCAAGUCGGACGGCAGCACAGAGAAGCUUACUUCUUGGGUGGCGAGUGGCGAACGGGUGAGUAACAUAUCGGAACGUACCGAGUAAUGGGGGAUAACUAAUCGAAAGAUUAGCUAAUACCGCAUAUUCUCUGAGGAGGAAAGCAGGGGACCUUCGGGCCUUGCGUUAUUCGAGCGGCCGAUAUCUGAUUAGCUAGUUGGUGGGGUAAAGGCCUACCAAGGCGACGAUCAGUAGCGGGUCUGAGAGGAUGAUCCGCCACACUGGGACUGAGACACGGCCCAGACUCCUACGGGAGGCAGCAGUGGGGAAUUUUGGACAAUGGGCGCAAGCCUGAUCCAGCCAUGCCGCGUGUCUGAAGAAGGCCUUCGGGUUGUAAAGGACUUUUGUCAGGGAAGAAAAGGACAGGGUUAAUACCCCUGUUUGAUGACGGUACCUGAAGAAUAAGCACCGGCUAACUACGUGCCAGCAGCCGCGGUAAUACGUAGGGUGCGAGCGUUAAUCGGAAUUACUGGGCGUAAAGCGAGCGCAGACGGUUACUUAAGCAGGAUGUGAAAUCCCCGGGCUCAACCUGGGAACUGCGUUCUGAACUGGGUGACUAGAGUGUGUCAGAGGGAGGUAGAAUUCCACGUGUAGCAGUGAAAUGCGUAGAGAUGUGGAGGAAUACCGAUGGCGAAGGCAGCCUCCUGGGAUAACACUGACGUUCAUGCUCGAAAGCGUGGGUAGCAAACAGGAUUAGAUACCCUGGUAGUCCACGCCCUAAACGAUGUCAAUUAGCUGUUGGGCAACUUGAUUGCUUAGUAGCGUAGCUAACGCGUGAAAUUGACCGCCUGGGGAGUACGGUCGCAAGAUUAAAACUCAAAGGAAUUGACGGGGACCCGCACAAGCGGUGGAUGAUGUGGAUUAAUUCGAUGCAACGCGAAGAAUCU
rnacentral:rRNA from 1 species